AUAAAAGGAGUCCUCUCAAGCAUUGAACUGAGCCGGAUUGAUGAUGGAAUUAAAGUAGUCCUAUUCAAUCGAGCGUCAUCUUUUUCGUAGCAACGCGAACUUUUCCAAAAUCGAAGCACUUCAAGUUUCCUCCAUGGCACCAGUACAUUGAUUGUUUCUUGUUCCUCUUUUUAGCAACAGCGCUUUUAUUGUUUCAAGAAAUGUUGUUGCAUUCCAAAUCGUGAGAAACUACACUUUUGAAAGAAUUCUAGAGAACAAAGCUAGCCAGAACAAUUGUCUAAUCGAGUGGUGUAUGUGAUUUACAGUGUGCCCCCCCCUUGCAAGGCACCAGCCCAACUAGCUCCAGGUACCCUGUCUCUGAGGUGACUAGGGUUGCAAUGAUCCCUACGGCGUGCUGAUAUCGAGACAGCCGGCUAGCCGCCUAGCCGAGAGCGCGAGCAAGGCCACUUUCAAGCAUGUCACACCGAACAUCCAGAGAUCAGGUACGAGCAGGUGGCACCCAUGGGGAGGCCGGGUCAGAGUGUGGACCAUUGGUAGAGGAGAGCCCUGGCAGCUAGGAUAGUGUCAGAACAGACCCCAUGCCACAGCCGGUCUGGACUACCGAGAGGUGGACAUGGAGAUCGCAUUCUGGAAGCAAGUACAUGUAGCAAGUCUGAAGUUUUUCUCACUGGCAGACCUCAUAGGAGGGGUACGCAUCACCCAGGGCCAAAGCGACAGGUGGACUGAAGGUAGGACCAGCGAUCAGUAUGAUUUUGCACCUCGUUUGAUGAGAUCAUAUCAAUUCCUUCCAAUACAUAAAGCGCUCCUCCAAAAACUACUGUGCCUACAUUCAUGUACUUAUCUUUUUCUCUUUAGCCUUGAGCCUUGUGUAAACAGAACUGCCCAAACCGUACCCAGACAAAACAGACGAUACCACUUGACAGAUAGGGCAGAC